GAUGAACGCUGACAGAAUGCUUAACACAUGCAAGUCAACUUGAACUUCGGUUUGGGUGGCGGACGGGUGAGUAACGCGUAAAGAACUUGCCUCACAGAUAGGGACAACAUUUGGAAACGAAUGCUAAUACCUGAUAUUAUGAUUUUAGGGCAUCCUAGGAUUAUGAAAGCUAUAUGCGCUGUGAGAGAGCUUUGCGUCCCAUUAGCUAGUUGGAGAGGUAACGGCUCACCAAGGCGAUGAUGGGUAGCCGGCCUGAGAGGGUGAUCGGCCACAAGGGGACUGAGACACGGCCCUUACUCCUACGGGAGGCAGCAGUGGGGAAUAUUGGACAAUGGACCAAGAGUCUGAUCCAGCAAUUCUGUGUGCACGAUGAAGUUUUUCGGAAUGUAAAGUGCUUCCAGUUGGGAAGAAAAAAAUGACGGUACCAACAGAAGAAGUGACGGCUAAAUACGUG
rnacentral:rRNA from 1 species